UGCAGUCGAACGCGUUGGCCCAAUUGAUUGAUGGUGCUUGCACCUGAUUGAUUUUGGUCGCCAACGAGUGGCGGACGGGUGAGUAACACGUAGGUAACCUGCCCAGAAGCGGGGGACAACAUUUGGAAACAGAUGCUAAUACCGCAUAACAGCGUUGUUCGCAUGAACAACGCUUAAAAGAUGGCUUCUCGCUAUCACUUCUGGAUGGACCUGCGGUGCAUUAGCUUGUUGGUGGGGUAAUGGCCUACCAAGGCGAUGAUGCAUAGCCGAGUUGAGAGACUGAUCGGCCACAAUGGGACUGAGACACGGCCCAUACUCCUACGGGAGGCAGCAGUAGGGAAUCUUCCACAAUGGGCGCAAGCCUGAUGGAGCAACACCGCGUGAGUGAAGAAGGGUUUCGGCUCGUAAAGCUCUGUUGUUAAAGAAGAACACGUAUGAGAGUAACUGUUCAUACGUUGACGGUAUUUAACCAGAAAGUCACGGCUAACUACGUGCCAGCAGCCGCGGUAAUACGUAGGUGGCAAGCGUUAUCCGGAUUUAUUGGGCGUAAAGAGAGUGCAGGCGGUCUUCUAAGUCUGAUGUGAAAGCCUUCGGCUUAACCGGAGAAGUGCAUCGGAAACUGGAUAACUUGAGUGCAGAAGAGGGUAGUGGAACUCCAUGUGUAGCGGUGGAAUGCGUAGAUAUAUGGAAGAACACCAGUGGCGAAGGCGGCUACCUGGUCUGCAACUGACGCUGAGACUCGAAAGCAUGGGUAGCGAACAGGAUUAGAUACCCUGGUAGUCCAUGCCGUAAACGAUGAGUGCUAGGUGUUGGAGGGUUUCCGCCCUUCAGUGCCGGAGCUAACGCAUUAAGCACUCCGCCUGGGGAGUACGACCGCAAGGUUGAAACUCAAAGGAAUUGACGGGGGCCCGCACAAGCGGUGGAGCAUGUGGGUUAAUUCGAAGCUACGCGAAGAACCUUACCAGGUCUUGACAUCUUGCGCCAACCCUAGAGAUAGGGCGUUUCCUUCGGGAACGCAAUGACAGGUGGGGCAUGGUCGUCGUCAGCUCGUGUCGUGAGAUGUUGGGUUAAGUCCCGCAACGAGCGCAACCCUUGUUACUAGUUGCCAGCAUUAAGUUGGGCACUCUAGUGAGACUGCCGGUGACAAACCGGAGGAAGGUGGGGACGACGUCAGAUCAUCAUGCCCCUUAUGACCUGGGCUACACACGUGCUACAAUGGACGGUACAACGAGUCGCGAACUCGCGAGGGCAAGCAAAUCUCUUAAAACCGUUCUCAGUUCGGACUGCAGGCUGCAACUCGCCUGCACGAAGUCGGAAUCGCUAGUAAUCGCGGAUCAGCAUGCCGCGGUGAAUACGUUCCCGGGCCUUGUACACACCGCCCGUCACACCAUGAGAGUUUGUAACACCCAAAGUCGGUGGGGUAACCUUUUAGGAGCCAGCCGCCUAAGGUGGGACAGAUGAUUAGGGUGAAG
rnacentral:rRNA from 1 species